GCAGCCUGAUCCAGCCAUGCCGCGUGGGUGAAGAAGGCCUUCGGGUUGUAAAGCCCUUUUGUUGGGAAAGAAAAGCAGUCGGUUAAUACCCGAUUGUUCUGACGGUACCCAAAGAAUAAGCACCGGCUAACUUCGUGCCAGCAGCCGCGGUAAUACGAAGGGUGCAAGCGUUACUCGGAAUUACUGGGCGUAAAGCGUGCGUAGGUGGUUGUUUAAGUCCGUUGUGAAAGCCCUGGGCUCAACCUGGGAAUUGCAGUGGAUACUGGGCAACUAGAGUGUGGUAGAGGAUGGCGGAAUUCCCGGUGUAGCAGUGAAAUGCGUAGAGAUCGGGAGGAACAUCUGUGGCGAAGGCGGCCAUCUGGACCAACACUGACACUGAGGCACGAAAGCGUGGGGAGCAAACAGGAUUAGAUACCCUGGUAGUCCACGCCCUAAACGAUGCGAACUGGAUGUUGGGUGCAACUUGGCACGCAGUAUCGAAGCUAACGCGUUAAGUUCGCCGCCUGGGGAGUACGGUCGCAAGACUGAAACUCAAAGGAAUUGACGGGGGCCCGCACAAGCGGUGGAGUAUGUGGUUUAAUUCGAUGCAACGCGAAGAACCUUACCUGGUCUUGACAUCCACGGAACUUUCCAGAGA
rnacentral:rRNA from 1 species